rnacentral:rRNA from 1 species
UGAGGAAUAUUGGUCAAUGGGCGCAAGCCUGAACCAGCCAUCCCGCGUGAAGGAAGAAUGCGCUACGCGUUGUAAACUUCUUUUCCAGGGGGAGAAUAAUCCUGUCGUGACAGGACUUGACGGUACUCUGGGAAUAAGCAUCGGCUAACUCCGUGCCAGCAGCCGCGGUAAUACGGAGGAUGCGAGCGUUAUCCGGAUUUAUUGGGUUUAAAGGGUGCGUAGGCGGAUUGAUAAGUCAGUGGUGAAAUUCUACAGCUUAACUGUAGACUUGCCGUUGAUACUGUUAGUCUUGAGUGUGGUCAAGGCAGGCGGAAUGUGUAAUGUAGCGGUGAAAUGCUUAGAUAUUACACAGAACACCGAUUGANCAAAGGCUAGCUUGGCUGGGUUCAUUACUGACGCUUG